UACAGAGGUCCCAACCGUUGUUCGGAUUCAUUGGGCGUAAAGGGUGCGUAGGCGGCUGGGCAAGUCAGGUGUGAAAUCUCGGGGCUCAACCCCGAAACUGCACUUGAUACUGCCUUGCUCGAGUACUGGAGAGGAGACUGGAAUUUACGGUGUAGCAGUGAAAUGCGUAGAUAUCGUAAGGAAGACCAGUGGCGAAGGCGAAUCUCUGGACAGUUACUGACACUGAGGCACGAAGGCCAGGGGAGCAAACGGG
rnacentral:rRNA from 1 species